GUGGGCUUGUAGCUGUUCAUUCAUCCUUCUAAAGCCUUGUUUUCUCCCUCUCCCUCUUUUCUCUUGUGCACGCAAGGUGCUCGCUGAAUUGCUUGUAAAGCUUCCCCUUUUCGCGAGACUUCGGGACUUGUCCGUUGCUCGUUCUUUCGAACUAACCAACUUUCUCUUUUACAGGUCCUUCGGGACCUGCGAGAGGUUACAAGUGGACUGAUUCUUGUGGAGCAAUAUCGCAAGGGUGAAGCGCGACUUAGGCAACGCAAGCUAAGUUCGCAUCUUUGCUGCAAGGGUGACUCGCGACUUAGGCAACGCAAGCUAAGUUUGCGUCUUUGGCCGCAAGGGUGCCUCACGCCUUAGGCAAUUCCUGCUAAGGCCGUGACAUUGUGGUCUCAGAGCAGGCAAGCACUUCGAGCGAGCAGCGAACGAACUUCGCCAUGGCAAAGCAUCGUGGCGAAUCAAGCAAGACGGGGCAAGCUGGACCCUUGCCCCAAGCAGCCACAGGUGGGCUGCAUGUGCACACUCGCUCUCAUACUGUUGGAGUUGCUCAAGAGGAGCGCGGCAGCGAACAGGAUGAACGAGAAGUUGGCUACUCUCCGCGAGCAGAGGAAGCGCAAUCUGGAGUGCUAAUUGGGAAAAAGAGUCACAAGGAGAGACUCACAAUGGCGGAAACCCGCCUGGAUGUUCUUGAAGCGAGCAUGGAGGAACUCUACCAUGGCCAACAAAGGCUUGUUGGGGUAGAGAGCUCGCAAGAGGAAGUGGAGUCUAGGAUCGACAAGGUCGAGGCCCUAGUCGACCGAUUGUCUGAUGACACCAAAGACUCCGUGCAACACUUACAAGAUGUUGUGGCGGAACUCACUGCAAAGGUGGCCAUGCUCACAAGAACACUAAAUGGGGGAGGAAGCAACACCCGCGUUGCACCACCACAAAAUUUGAGGGCACUUGAGCCUCAUGGAUAUGGAGGGGCCAAAGAUGCCAAAGAGCUCGAGAACUUUCUAUUCGACAUGGAACAAUACUUUCGAGCUACGAGGCCCGAUUCUAAAGAUACCAAAGUUUCUAUAGCAACAAUGUAUCUAAACGGAGAUGCGAAACUUUGGUGGCGAACUCGUUGGGAGGAGAUCCAACAAGGUCGGUGUCGAGUCGACACAUGGGAGGACUUGAAGCGGGAGUUGAGAACUCAGUUCCUACCGGAGAACACAGAGUUUGUCACAAGAAGGAAGUUGAGACAACUCCGCCAAAGUACCACCAUUCGAGACUAUAUGAAACAAUUUUCUGCACUAAUGCUGGACAUACAGGACAUGUCCGAAAAGGACAAGUUGUUCAGCUUCCUCGAUGGUUUGAAACCAUGGGCUCAAUAGGAGCUAAAUCGAAGAAAUGUUACCGACGUGGUCGGGGCAAUUACGACUGCAGAAAGGCUCACUGACUUUGUUUCCUCUGAAGACCCAACAAGAAGGAAACAAUCUUCAGGCAAUCGACCUCCAAAGCAUUCUCGAGAGAAGGAGCUCGGGGGCAAACAAAAGAAGAAGAGCUCCCACAAAGGGCCGAACCCGAAAGGCAAGGCCUCAAAACCUGGAGGAUGCUUCUUGUGCGGAGGACCGUAUAUGGUAAGGGAGUGCCCACAAAAACAGGCACUCAAUGCUUUGACAGCUUCCAUCCACACACCCCCCCCCCCCCCCNNNNNNNNNNNNNNNNNNNNNNNNNNNNNNNNNNNNNNNNNNNNNNNNNNNNNNNNNNNNNNNNNNNNNNNNNNNNNNNNNNNNNNNNNNNNNNNNNNNNNNNNNNNNNNNNNNNNNNNNNNNNNNNNNNNNNNNNNNNNNNNNNNNNNNNNNNNNNNNNNNNNNNNNNNNNNNNNNNNNNNNNNNNNNNNNNNNNNNNNNNNNNNNNNNNNNNNNNCCCCCCCCCCCCCCCCCCCCCCCCGAUCGGACAAGGGCAAAGCUGUUGCUCUUAGUUCGAGCAGUUCUGAAUCCAGCAGCGACGACAAGGAGUCGCAAGGACCCCGAAUGGGAGUAAUGCGUUUGUUGAACACUAUGCAGGGUCAAGUGAGGGAGAACAUGAAGACAAAUGUACAAAAAGCAGGAAGUAGUGAGCUGAUGUAUGUGGACAUCAAGCUAAAUGGCCAAACGACCCGUGUAAUGGUGGACACGGGUGCUACCCACAACUUCAUAGCCGAUCGUGAAGCACAACGACUUGGGUUGACCUUGGAGAAGAGCCCAAGCCGAAUGAAGGAGGUGAACUCGGAGGCCAAGCAAAUCUCCGGGUUGGCGAAGGGAGUUCCCAUCAAAAUCGGGACUUGGAGCGGAAACACCAACAUGAUGGUCGUGCCAUUGGACGACUUCCAAGUGAUUCUUGGAAUGGAGUUUAUGCACGCGGCGAAGUUGGUGCCGAUGCCGUUCUUAAACUCCCUAUGUAUGAUGGGAGGCGAUGACCCCUGCAUGGUUCUCAUCUCUCGGAGAGGAACUAAGGAGCCCCAACACAUUUCGGCAUUACAACUGAAGAAAGGGGUGCGAAAAGACGAAUUGACAUUUAUGGCUGCUAUGAAGCUAGAGCCACUCGAUGAGGAGGCCAUUCAAGAACCUGCUGUGGUGGCGAAUGUCCUAAAAGAGUUCAAAGACGUUAUGCCACCCGAGUUGCCGAAGACUCUUCCACCACGCAAAGGCGUGGAUCACAGCAUCGAGCUGGAGCCAGGAGUGAAGCCUCCAGCGAGACCACCCUACCGCAUGCCCCCGCCAGAGUUGGCAGAACUCAGGAAGCAGUUAGGUGAACUGCUAAGCGGUGGUCUCAUCCGCAGCUCUAAAGCACCUUUCGGAGCUCCAGUUCUCUUCCAGAAGAAACAAGAUGGGAGCCUCCGAUUAUGCGUCGACUACCGAGCCCUCAACAAAGUAACAGUGAAGAACAAGUAUCCCAUCCCGCUCAUUGCGGACUUGUUCGACCAAUUGGUCAAGGCUAAGUAUUUCUCAAAACUCGACCUUCGGUCGAGGUAUUGGCAGGUGCGCAUUACUGAAGGCGACGAAGCGAAGACUACCUGUGUGACCAGGUAUGGAGCGUUUGAGUUCUUGGUGAUGCCUUUCGGCUUAACCAACGCUCCGGCCACAUUCUGCACUCUCAUGAACCAGUUAUUCAAGGAGUAUUUGGAUAAGUUUGUGGUCGUCUACCUGGACGAUAUCGUCGUCUACAGUCAAACGCUCGAGGAGCACGUCAAGCACCUUCGAACGAUUUUCAAGGUUCUCAGGGAGAACACUUUGUUCAUAAAAGGGAGAAAUGCUACUUUGCUCAAACUGAGAUCUUAUUCUUGGGGCAUCAAAUUGGUGAUGGCUCCAUUCGGAUGGAUAAGUCGAUGGUGCAAGCAGUUGCAGAAUGGCGAACUCCAAAGAAGGUGUCAGAGUUGAGAUCCUUCCUUGGUUUCGUCAACUACUAUCGACGCUUCAUAGCGGGAUAUUCGAAGCGGGCAACCCCACUGACGGAGUUGCUAAAGAAGGAGCAGCCUUGGAAGUGGUCUGACAAAUGUGAGAUAGCAUUCCAAGAUCUGAAGGCUGCUAUUCUAGAAGAACUGGUGCUCAAAUUGUCGAACUAUGGAGAGCCCUUCAAAGUCCAUACAGAUGCUUCGGACUUCGCUAUUGGGGGGGUACUCAUGCAGGAAGGUCAUCCGAUGACCUACAAGAGCCACAAACUCAACAAGACCGAGCGGCGGUAUCCAAUGCAUGAGAAGGAGAUGACAGCAGUGAUCCACUGUCUACGAGUUUGGCGACACUACCUCCUUGGGUCACGAUUUGUGCUGAGGACGGACAACAUCGCCCUGAGCUAUUUCCAAACUCAGAAGAAGCUCUCCCCAAAACAGGCGCGAUGGCAGGACUUCCUGGCUGAAUUUGAUAUGGCAAUGGAGUACAAGCCCGGGAAGGCGAAUGUCAUGGCCGAUGCGCUGAGUCGGAAAGUGGAAUGCGUGAAUGCUGUACAACUGGAGGGUAGAGGCCAAACAAGUCAGUUGCACUCCAACUUCCUUUCCCGAAUCAGGGAUGGACUGUAUAGUGAUCCCCAGGCAGUUAUCCUGAUGUAGCUCAUCAAAGAAGGCAAGACACGACGAUUUUGGGUCCAGGAGGGACUUGUUUACACAAAAGGGAAUAGGGUGUAUGUUCCCCGAGUGGACAAUUUAAGGCAUGAGCUCUUAAAAGAGUGUCACGAUUCCCUUUGGGCUGGACACCAAAGCAUUCACAGAACGUUGGCUCUCGUGGAGAGGGCCUUCUACUGGCCGAAGAUGGGGAUUGAUGUGGAGGAAUAUGUUCGAACAUGCCUUACUUGCCAACAAGACAACGUGGAGCAGCGGAAGCCGGUGGGACUUUUGGAGCCGUUGCCCGUACCAGAAAGGUCGUGGGAGAGCAUUUCCUUGGAUUUCAUAUCAAGCUUACCACCUGUAGGGGGACUCGGAUCAAUACUCGUGGUGGUCGAUUGGUUUUCAAAGUAUGCAACUUUCAUUGCUGCUCCCCUACACUGUUCAGCAGAGGAGGCAACCAAGCUGAUGAUGAAGAAUGUAGUGAAGUAUUGGGGAGUCCCGCACAAUAUCAUUAGCGAUCGAGACGCUCGGUUCCUGGGAUGAUUCUGGACCGAGCUGUUCAAAUUGUUGGGGUCGAAGUUAUACUUCUCUACAAGCCUCCACCCUUAGACGGAUGGCCAGACUGAAAGGAUAAACUCACUCUUGGAGUAAUAUCUCCAGCACUACGUGAGUGUCAAUCAACGAGAUUGGGUGAAGCUGUUGGACAUUGCCCAAUUCUCUUACAACCUGCAGCGGAGCUCUGCAUCCAACAAGAGCCCAUUCGAGAUUAUCACAGGACAACAACCGUCGACUCCGCACACCAUGGCAAUUGGGUAUACUGGGAGUAGUCCAUCAGCCUAUCAUUUCGCAAAGGAGUGACAUCGAAAUGCAGAUAUUGCGCGGGCUUACUUGGAGAAGGCGGCAAAAAGGAUGAGGAAGUGGGCAGACUUGGGAAGGCGACCGCAAGAGUUCAAAGUUGGCGAUUUGGUGUUGGUAAAGCUCCAACCAGCAUCACUCCAAUUCUUUAGGAACAGAGUCCACAAAGGAUUGGUGCGCAAGUAUGAAGGGUCCUUCCCAAUUAUCAGCAGGGUAGGCAACGUCUCUUACAAGUUGCAGCUGUCGGUGUGGUUCAAAAUUCACAAUGUUCUUCACGCCAGCAACCUAAAAGCCUACACUCGGAUCCGCGAGAUGCUUCCCGAAGUGUUCCAACUCGACUACCUCCCAUCACAGCCUCCUACGAGAAGCGAGUGGAAACCAUUCUGGCGGACCGCAAGAUAAAGCUACCCAACGGAGCUGAGUAGACAGAGUACUUGGUGAAGUGGCGAAAGCUUCCCCGAACUUAAGCCAGUUGGGAGCCUGAAGACGCCCUGCGACAUGAAGAAGAAGUCAUCAACAACUACCAACAAGCAUCGACGAGGGCGUCGACAGUUUAAGUGGGGGAGAAUGUCACGAACGGUCGUCGCGUACCCGCAACAACUCCGUUCAAUGAACCGUUCGUUACUCACACCUGCAUGUACAGCUGCUUGACAGCAUGUUUUCUCUUGGUUUUGGGUCAUUUUUCUUGUAAAUAUGUAAGUUCGAACAAGCUGCAGCGUUACAAAGCGACCGCUCACCGAACCGAGCAAAACAGCCCCAAAACAGCCCAAAAUAGCUCUGUUUUCGCAUGCCACGGGAGGGUUGCGGAGAACUACCUCCGCUCACCAAAACGUCAGCCAUCUCAGCCCCUUUGAACCCCCCGGGUGGCACAUGGCUGGAUGGGGCUUCGGUUAUAUACCGGGCGUUGAACUCUCUUUCGCAAGUUCGUACGUGGCCUUUACGGGAACUUGUCUUCGCGCCCGGGACCAGGUGAGCGGCUGUUUUGUGGGCUUGCAACUGUUCGUUCAUCCUUCUAAAGCCUUGUUUUCUCCCUCUCCCUCUUUUCUCUUGUGCACGCAAGGUGCUCGCUGAAUUGCUUGUAAAUCUUCCCCUUUUCGCGAGACUUCAAGACUUGUCCAUUGCUCGUUCUUUCGAACUAACCAACUUUCUCUUUUACAGGUCCUUCGGGACCUGCGAGAGGUUUCAAGUGGGCUGAUUCUUGCGGAGCAAUAUCGCAAGGGCGA
rnacentral:lncRNA from 1 species